UUUCAUUGAAUACUUUGAGAAGUAUUGGUGUUAAUUCUUCUUUGAAGGUCUUUUCCCCCUGCUGCCUCAAUCCCAUCAGGCUCCAGUGGUGCUGAGAUGGGCCAGAGAGCAGCUGACAUGCAGGGAUAGCUUGAGUCUUUGUUCCUGGGUAAUCCAAGAAGGGGAGCCAAGGUGGUUGCAUGCAAUGGCUUAGCCAUGAACUGCAUGGCCUGAUGGUUGGAAGAGCCAGUAUCUGUGGCUGUGAACUGACAUUUUCAAGCUGAGACC
rnacentral:snoRNA from 1 species